AGAGAAUUGGUGGAGCGGCUGGCUUGCGGAGCGGCUUCUUCUCUCCAUGAUGUUGUUUACCAUAACGAUUUAUGUUAUAAUUCUCUUUUCAAGCCCACAACCUACUAUCCGACUAAGGCGGGAGACCUUCUCCUUCCUCUCACAUAAGCAUUGCCGAACAGUCAUGUUGAACAGGAUGAUCAUCGACAGUGACAACGAACAUUACGUAGGAUGAUUG
ensembl:ncRNA F52B10.14 ncRNA